GAACUCUGGAGAAUCUCCAAUGUGGAGUGCCGAAGGUGCAAGACGGCAUCAGCCGUCGAAUCUCUCAGGCAAAAGGACAGAGUA
rnacentral:ncRNA from 1 species